rnacentral:rRNA from 1 species
UACGGGGGGGAGCAAGCGUUGUUCGGAUUUACUGGGCGUAAAGGGCGCGUAGGCGGUCAGCACAAGUCAGUUGUGAAAUCUCCGGGCUUAACUCGGAAAGGUCAACUGAUACUGUGCGACUAGAGUGCAGAAGGGGCAACUGGAAUUCUCGGUGUAGCGGUGAAAUGCGUAGAUAUCGAGAGGAACACCUGCGGCGAAGGCGGGUUGCUGGGCUGACACUGACGCUGAGGCGCGAAAGCCAGGGGGAGCGAACGGG